CGGCCCCUCCGUGCCACGGGCUGAGGGAGGCGCGGGGCGGCCGCGGUGCCGGGGUAGGGCCGUGUGCAAGCCGACCGCUCCCUGGUCUCGCUGGCCCUUAGCCCCGGGCGCAGGAACCGAGGGGCUCCCGCCGAGAGCCGCCGCCGCUUUCUGCAAGCACGCCGAGCUCGGGCAGGACACCCGCGAGCCUGAGCGAUGCCUAAAGCCCGGAGAGCCUGGGCGAUGGGCUUUUAGUGUUCCAUAGCCCGAUGCGAGUAGGAAGGACUCCCGAUACUCCCGGUGGUUGGCACGUUCUGGGAUGUGCUCCUGGCCUAAGCAACUGCCCUGCCCAAGCUAAGGCUGCAAUCAACCAACACCCAUACCUGGAAAAUGGGGAUGUGUUAAUAACCAGCACAAAUCCUGCUCUAACGCUGCCACGCCUGACUUCCUGCAUCACACACCUGAGUCCCGUGUCACCUGAACGCCAGGAAGCUGAACUGAGGUGAGGCAGCAGGGAAGACAAAUGCCCUGGUGUUACCCACACUGCUCCAUGCUACAUCUCCCUUCUGGGUGUCCCAAGCAGUCAGGAACCUGAGUGAUAAUUUGGGUGACUGGUGUUGCUGGAAACAGUACAGCUUGCCUGCCAAGUGAGUGAGUUUAGGAGGGUUAGGAUUGGAUAUGUUUUGCUGAGAAACCGUAAAUACAAGUAGUAACAACAGCUGUAGAAAACAGCACAUGCCAGAAAUAAAUGACAAUACUCCAGAAGUUUAAAAAAAAAUUAUAUUGUAAGUACAGUACAAAAGUCUGUGUAUAAUUGUAAUGUAAUCUGGACCAAACAGCAAAGAAAUAACAAAAAUAUAAAAACUGCUAAGUCUUGACAAAGUUUUCCUAUAGUACCAAAUACCACAAGAUACAGAUUAUACAAAGUGUACAAAUUUUAAUAAAAAUACAAUACACCA